rnacentral:rRNA from 1 species
ACGACUCUCGGCAACGGAUAUCUCGGCUCACGCAUCGAUGAAGAACGUAGCAAAAUGCGAUACUUGGUGUGAAUUGCAGAAUCCCGUGAACCAUCGAGUUUUUGAACGCAAGUUGCGCCCGAAGCCAUUUGGUUGAGGGCACGUCUGCUUGGGCGUCACGC